GACGAACGCUGGCGGCGCGCUUAACACAUGCAAGUCGAGCGAAGCGGCGGACGGGUGAGUAACACGUGAGUAACCUGCCUUAGACAUUGGGAUAGCCUCGGGAAACCGGGAUUAAUACCAAAUGGUCUAAGAUGGACUCGCGUCCCAUUAGCUAGUUGGUGGGUAACGGCCCACCAAGGCGACGAUGGGUAGCCGGCCUAGGAGGGUGAACGGCCACAUUGGAGCUGGGAAACAGUCCAAACUCUACGGGAGGCAGCAGUGGGGGAUAGAGCACAAUGGAGGGAACUGUGAUGCAGCGACGCCGCGUGAACGAAGAAGGCUGUGUAGACGUAGAGUUCUUUUAUAUGAGAAGCGGUACCAUAAGAAAAAGCCCCGGCUAACUACGUGCCAGCAGCCGCGGUAAUAC
rnacentral:rRNA from 1 species